rnacentral:siRNA from 1 species
UAGAAUGCACAAAUCUUGAGCCAU